rnacentral:lncRNA from 1 species
UUUUAAUUCUCAUUCCAGAGAGGAACAGUGGGUUCUUUCUCCAGUUGUUCUGUCCUUACUGGGGAGGAGCCCAGGGACAUAUUUCACAGCUAAGUCAACUGCUUUUCUUCAAAUUCAGAUUUAAUCCUUGAGUGAAAUGAGUCACUGGCUCAUCCAGUUAAGAUCAUCACCCACUUUCCUAACAAAACUUCUCUUCAAAGAAGGACUCGCUCAUCCAUCAGGUGGACCUCCACAGGAACAAAUCAUAUCCAUGUCAGGCGGCACCAAACCUAAAUCUGCUUCUGCCUCAGCAGACAGGACAUGUUGAGUUUGGCCAGUGAGUGCUGCAGGAUACUGGAGGGAGGGCAACAGAGAGGAAGGUCACCUACAUGUCUAUGUUCAGAAGCUGCCUUGAUGCCACAUGCGGGAGGCUGGAAACGCUGAAGGAUGACCACUGCUCAGCAGCAGUCUACCAGUGAUGGAUGAGAGUUGGUGCACAAAUACCCCAGCUCCCUUGCCUCUCAGUUUGGAUAAUCCUGAAAAGGUUAUUUCUGGACACAGUAAUCCUUCAGCAAUACAAUUACCAAGUUAUUCAACAUGGAAGGCUUUGCCAAGACAGUGGUGGCUGGGAUUUG